GGGGGCCACAGACAUGUGGCUGUGGUUUCCACACUAAGAAGCCUUCCAGCUCAGUCCCUGACACCCCAUUUCCCCGUACCACUGUUGGCACUGGUCAAGGGCAAGGCCCUUCAAGCGCUGCUGCUGCUGCUGCUGCCUCCUCAGCAUCAACAUCUGCUGGACCUGUGCAGAGGCCUGCUUUGAAUCUGGCUAUGUUUACAAAACCACGGUUUGGCGGGUCGCAUGGUGCUGCUUUGAAGCCAAAUUUAACUGUGGCUAGGAAGCCUGCAAAGCCCCUUAUUAGCACGUC